CCCUCAGGUUGAAUGGAAACCAACCGCAGAGUGUAAAGGCACAAGGGUGCUUGACUGCAAGAGAUACACCUCGAGCAGAGACGAAAGUCGGGCUUAGUGAUCCCACGGUUCCGAGUGGAAGGGCCGUGGCUUACCGGAUAAAAGCUACCCCGGGGAUAACAGGCUAGUCUCCCCCAAGAGUUCACAUCGACGGGGAGGCUCGGCACCUCGAUGUCGGCUCAUCGCAUCCUGGGGCCGGAUAAGGUCCCAAGGGUUGGGCUGUUCGCCCAUUAAAGCGGUACGUGAGCUGGGUUCAGACCGUCGUGAGACAGGUCGGUCUCUAUCCGCUGUGGGCGCAAGGGAUUUGAGGGGAGCUGCCCCUAGUACGAGAGGACCGGGGUGGACAGACCGCUGGUGUGCCAGUUGUUCCGCCAGGAGCAUCGCUGGGUAGCUAUGUCUGGCAGAGAUAACCGCUGAAAGCAUCUAAGUGGGAAGCUCGCCCCAAGAUUAGAUCCCUCAUCCCGUUAAGGGAGUAAGGCCGCAGGAAGACCACCUGCUUGAUAGGCGGCAAGUGUAAGUCCCGCAAGGGAUUCAGCUAAGCCGUACUAAUGGCCGAGGGCUUAACGUG
rnacentral:rRNA from 1 species